AUUGAACGCUGGCGGCGUGCUUAACACAUGCAAGUCGUGCGGUAACAGGCGUAGCAAUACGUGCUGACGAGCGGCGAACGGGUGCGUAAUACAUGGGAAUCUGCCCUUUAGUGGGGAAUAACCCGGCGAAAGCCGGGCUAAUGCCGCAUAAGAUCUUCGGAUGAAAGCGGGGGAUCGUAAGACCUCGCGCUGAUGGAUGAGCCCAUGUCGGAUUAGCAGUUGGUGAGGUAAAGGCUCACCAAGGCGACGAUCCGUAGCUGGUCUGAGAGGACGGCCAGCCACACUGGGACUGAGACACGGCCCAGACUCCUACGGGAGGCAGCAGUGGGGAAUAUUGGACAAUGGGGGAAACCCUGAUCCAGCGACGCCGCGUGUGUGAAGAAGGCCUGC
rnacentral:rRNA from 1 species